rnacentral:rRNA from 1 species
AAUAGAUACCCUGGUAGUCCACGCCGUAAACGAUGAGUGCUAAGUGUUAGAGGGUUUCCGCCCUUUAGUGCUGCAGCUAACGCAUUAAGCACUCCGCCUGGGGAGUACGGUCGCAAGACUGAAACUCAAAGGAAUUGACGGGGGCCCGCACAAGCGGUGGAGCAUGUGGUUUAAUUCGAAGCAACGCGAAGAACCUUACCAGGUCUUGACAUCCUCUGACAACUCUAGAGAUAGAGCGUUCCCCUUCGGGGGACAGAGUGACAGGUGGUGCAUGGUUGUCGUCAGCUCGUGUCGUGAGAUGUUGGGUUAAGUCCCGCAACGAGCGCAACCCUUGAUCUUAGUUGCCAGCAUUCAGUUGGGCACUCUAAGGUGACUGCCGGUGACAAACCGGAGGAAGGUGGGGAUGACGUCAAAUCAUCAUGCCCCUUAUGACCUGGGCUACACACGUGCUACAAUGGAUGGUACAAAGGGCUGCAAGACCGCGAGGUCAAGCCAAUCCCAUAAAACCAUUCUCAGUUCGGAUUGGUA